GAAUUUUUUUUAUUAUUAAUUUUUUAUAUUAAAGAAUUAUUUAAAAUAAGUAUAUUUUAUUUUUAGUAUAAAAUUAGAAUCAAUAAAUUUUAUGAUAGCUAAAUAGUACUGUGAAGGAAAUAAUAAAAAUAAGUAACAGAAAAAUUUAUUUUUUGUACCUUGUGUAUCAGGGUUUAUUAAAUUAAUAUUAAGUAUUUAGUAUUCUCGAAUUAAUAAGAGCUAUUUCUAUAUAUUUUAUUUUGUAGCAUAAAAAAUAUAAAUAUAGUAAUAGAGGUGAAAUGCUAUUCGAUUAUUAAUAUAUCUAGUUUCUAAAGAAAAAAAUUUAAUUUUUUUAUUAAUUUAGUAUAGAAUUUUAUUAUUAAUUUUAUAUUAUUAAUAGGCUAUAUUUUAGGGGAUAAGCUUUAAAAUAUAUUAUUUUAAAUUUAUAGUGUAUUUUAAUAAAAGUAGGAUUAAUAGUUUUCAUCUUUAAAAAUGUAUUAUUACUAAUUUAAUAAAAAAUAUAAUUUAUAUAGAUUUGAAAUUUUUUAUUUAGAUAUAAAUUUUAAUUAUAAAAAUUUAUUAAUAAUGAUAAAAUUAGUAAAAAAUUAAUUGUUUAUAUUUUAUAGAUAGUUAGGUUAAGCAAAGGAACUCGGCAAAUAUAUUUUUCACCUGUUUAUUAAAAACAUGGCCUUUUGAUUAUAAUUUAAGGUCUAACCUGCCCAAUGAAUUUUUAAAUGGCYGCGGUACUUUGACCGUGCAAAGGUAGCAUAAUCAUUAGUUUCUUAAUUAGAAGCUGGAAUGAAAGGUUGAAUGAGAAAAUAACUGUCUCUGUUUAAAUUAAAUUUGAAUUUUAUCUUUAAGUAAAAAAGCUUAAAUAAUUAUAGAAGACGAGAAGACCCUAUAGAGUUUUACUGAUUUAGAAUUGUGGAUUAUUGGCAUCUCAUUUCUUUAGAAUAAUAAAUUAGUUUAAUUGGGGUGAUUGAAAAAUUUGAAAAACUUUUUUUUUAUUUUUACAUUGAUUUAUGAUUAAUUGAUCCUUUUUAUAUUAAAGAUUAUAAGAAAAAAUUACCUUAGGGAUAACAGCGUAAUUUUUUUAGAGAGUUCUUAUCGAAAAAAAAGAUUGCGACCUCGAUGUUGGAUUAAAAUUAAAUUUUGGUGUAGAAGCUAGAGUAUUUAGGUCUGUUCGACCUUUAAAAUUUUACAUGAUCUGAGUUUAAACCGGUGUGAGCCAGGUUGGUUUCUAUCUCUAUAUAAAUAAAAUAUUUUAGUACGAAAGGACCAAGUAUUUGAUUAUUAAUUUAUUAAUAAGAAUAAUUUU
rnacentral:rRNA from 1 species